CCCAAUGCCGCUGCCUGCGCCACUCUGCGCGCCGGCGGGGGCUGCGCACGAGGAGCGCUCCGCCCGGCUACACCGCUCCGCCAGCCGGCGCGGCAACACCUGUUCGCGGCUGCCAGGGCGGCACGCGAGCUCCGGGACGCGGCUUUCUUCGCUCGCCGCUCACCGCCUGCUUCCCGAGCCAAUGGAUCUCCGCAGAGCCUCUGGAGAAUUCUGGAUACUAGCUUUGGACGCCUAAAGUUUUUUUUUUUUCCUCCCCCUCUUCUUUUUGUUUUAUUAUUAAUUAUUAUUAUUAUCAUCAUCAUCAAUUAUUUUUUUGGAAAGGGUGGGGGAGACAAGGAGGGGAGAUUUCUCGCCGCCACCAACGUGAGAUGAUGAUUCUGAUUAAUUAUGAUUAUUAAUUUUUUUCCUCUCGGGGUGAAGGAUUCAUGCUGAUGUCUGCAGAGUCGGUUAGAGAGAGUAAAAACAGCGCAUGCCUUCCUUGGAGUCAGGAUCCGUAAAUUCUGACGUAGCCUGAGCAUCUUAAAAAAAAUCUCUUAUAAUAACGCCUGAGCAUUUUUCCCCCCCUUCUUUUUAAAGUUGCUAUGGUCAUUCUGCUCUCAAAGCCAAUGGAGACACUACGGAUUUCCCCCCCUUAUUCCGGUCGGAUGGGAUGAAGACCUUGCUGCUUGCUGAGAACCGGGGCUCUGUCUAUAGAGAUACACAGAUACGAUUAUCACUAUGUCAGUGUGAGAGUAUGAAGCCGUGGUUUCUUAGACUAUCAGUGGUUUGACCUUGAACCGGUGCCAGUGAAACAGCCGAUUACUUUUAUUUAUGCAUUUAAUGGAUUGAAGAGAAGAACCUCUCCCCCCCACCCCCUCCUCCCCUCACUCUGCAACUGCAGUAAAGGAAGGGAGUUGGAUAUACCUCGCCUACUAUCUCCUGGGGUUGACACCAUCGUUAUUGUUUAUUCUUGUGCUCCGAAAGCUGGGUCCUCUGAUGGCUCCCUUAGGUGAAGUUGGGAACUAUUUCGGUGUGCAGGAUGCGGUACCGUUUGGGAAUGUGCCCGUGUUGCCGGUGGACAGCCCGGUUUUGUUAAGUGACCACCUGGGUCAGCCUGAAGCUGGAGGGCUACCCAGGGGACCCGCAGUCACGGACUUGGAUCAUUUAAAGGGGAUUCUCAGGCGGAGGCAGCUCUACUGCAGGACUGGAUUUCACUUAGAAAUCUUCCCCAACGGUACUAUCCAGGGAACCAGGAAAGACCACAGUCGAUUCGGCAUUCUGGAGUUUAUCAGCAUAGCAGUGGGCCUGGUCAGCAUUCGAGGCGUGGACAGUGGACUCUACCUCGGGAUGAAUGAGAAGGGGGAGCUAUAUGGAUCAGAAAAGCUAACCCAAGAGUGUGUAUUCAGAGAACAGUUUGAAGAAAACUGGUAUAACACAUACUCCUCAAACCUAUAUAAACAUGCGGACACUGGAAGACGAUACUAUGUUGCAUUAAAUAAAGAUGGAACUCCAAGAGAAGGGACCAGGACUAAAAGACACCAGAAAUUCACACAUUUUUUACCUAGACCUGUGGACCCGGACAAAGUACCUGAACUAUAUAAGGAUAUUCUAAGCCAAAGUUGACAAAAGACAAUUUCUUCACUUGAGCCCUUAAGAAAAAAAAAAAAAGUAACCACUCUAAAAUGAUUUCAUGCGGUGGGUUCUUAUUGAUUAGCUGUGUUAUCACCUCAGCUCCACUGUUGCCAAACUUUGUCGCAUGCAUAAUGUAUGAUGGAAGCUUGAAUGGGAACAUGGCUGAUUUUGUUCUGCACUUAAAGAACAAAUGAGACUGACAUCAAACAUCCUGCUGAUUUAGGAUCCUCAACAAGAAGAUAAAACAAAAGCUUACGUAGCACUGACUUCUAAAAAUUUUUUUUUUGUUUUUAAGAGACAAGAUUCGGAUGAACAGGAGCAUUCUUGUCAACUUUUUAUUUGUGCACUUAGCCAUCAAAUAUGAAAUCAUACAAGUAUCAUAGGAGAUCAUUGUAACAUCUUUUAUUGAGAAUUGCUUCAGGGUGACCUGUCAUAAUUAUGUGGUAAUGACACCCUUCAAGUUAAAUUUUCAACAUGAAACUAAUAAACCUUUAUCAAUAAUGACUUCGAGGGGCCAACGUUAUAAGCAUUGACUGUGUUUUGUUUUGUUUUGUAAAAUGGUCUUCAAAACUGCUCAACUUUUCUAAAGAGGGAAACUUACUAUCUAGGAUAUCUUUUACAAGCUUUUAUAACAUUUUAUGCCGAAAAGCAUAAGAAUACAUACUCCUUUGGUAGCAAUAAUUUUGGAACUUGCCCUUGGAUGAGGGAGACUAUUUCUUACUAUCUACUAAAGUGAAAAGAGCCAAAAUUCUUUAAGCAAUAUUUAAGGGGAAAAAAACAAUUUAUAUAACAUUCUUUAUCCAUAUAUCACACUUUCUAGCUAGUGGUAUUGGGAUAUUGAAAGUGACAGUUAAAAAAUGUGUUGGGCUUUACGUAACUAAUUAAAAAAUUAAUAUUCUAGUUUUGUUUUGCUCAGAUGCACAUUCUCUAUGAAAAAUAAAUAUGUCAGUAGCAAGUUAAAGCUUUUUAGGAAUGAGAGAUGCAUACUUUACAUUGUGAGCAGAUACACAUAGCUUCUGUAUUUCACAUAAGAGUGCGUGGCCAUGCCCUCCUACUGGUGUGUAUUGAGGAAAAAAACCCAGUCUAAUAUUUGGAAUUGAGAAAUUUCUCACAGUGAGGAAACAGAAGCACUGUAAAAUGAUGGUUUAUGAUGAAAUAUUAAAAAGUCCUUUUCAUUUUAUUUUCUUGGGAUUUCCCCCCCUUUCAGUUUCCUAAACAGAAACUCAUUUAAUUCUAAGUACUAUUCUUAUUUAUUAUCUAUAUGCUGCUGCUAAAAUAUGCACAUAUUCAGGCUUUAGUUUUUCCAAAUGGCAUUUAGUUUUUAUUUUUUUUUCUGGCUGAAAAAAUAAAAGAUUAAAUUUUUGACCACAGGGGGAGAAGAAACAAGUUUCUAGGAUGUCAUAGGUCUAAUACUUAGCACUGAAGAAAUUGAUUUUGGAAGACAGCCAAAAGUCAUCUUAAAGUAGCAUGAGACUCCAGAUAAUUAGCCUUAAAGAAUGAGAAAGAAGGGUGAAAAAUAAAACAAAAGCCCCCCUCAAAUCUCCAUGCAUUCCUAAAAAAACAAAAAACAAAAAAACAAAAAAACCAAAUGCUACUUUAAUGUCUACUUUUGGAGUUAUUUUGUUUUUGGUAAUUUUAUUUUUUAAAGGAAAGCAAAAUGUUAUAUGCUUUUGGCAAACGGAUAUAAUAAACUGUAAUGGUUUGUAAAUAAAUAAACACUGACUUAUGCAAUUGAUGUAAAUAGGUGUUCUGGGAGAAGAUGGCUCAGGGUUUCUGUAUAUGCAUCGUCUUGUUGAGCAGUAGUUACCCCCAGCUCUGGGUGUGCAUCCGGUUCUUGUCAUAAGAGACCCCCAAGCUCGUUGGAUGGCCGCCUGGAGCCCCCCUGUGGAAUGGGUGGUUCCAUUUUCACAAACAGAUGCUCACAUAGGCAAACUACCCUCUUGUUGGUGCCAACUCUGACACCUUGGUCAAAGACUUAACCCUGCAUGGAUGGCAAGGAACCACCUCCCCACCACCCCAUCUGUCAUGCAAAGGUCCUGGAGCAGUGUUGAAGGACAUGCCAGGUCAGCAUGUGGGGAAACUGCCCUGCCAGGUCCUGUUCUGUAGAUAAAGGAAUGGUGAUUUCAUUCGAUUUCAUCUCAUGAACAUGAUGACAAUGACCUUGUGUUAUUUACUUGAUAAACUGUAAUUGUAUGUAAAUACAUACAGGAUAAUGUAAUUUGUGUAAAUACAUAAUUACAGACUUUUUGAAAACUGGCAUAUUUUUUUUUUUCACUUGAUGUCCAUUUUGGAGCUGUUGCAGAUUCUGUGCCUACAUAACCAAAUGGGAUUUAAAAGACACACUCCCCUUGUUCUUA